AACAUAUAAAAUAAUAUACACUAAAAUUAGAGCGAUACAGAGAAGAUUGCAGAGGCCUUGCACAAGGGUGUCACGCAAAAUCGUAAAGCGUUCCACAUUUUU